GCCAUUGAAAUCUCCUGGCGAAUGAACUAUCUCCCUAUUGGCCCUGCAAGGGGUCUAUGGCGCUAAACCUUUUGUGCAAUAGGUGUACAGGACGCGGCUUCGAAGCCGCCGCCUCCACCAAGAACAGCCGGAUGCGGCUGCUGUUGAUGGGGGCGAAAUGGGAUCGACUGGCAUUGAAAGACAAAAGCUGUGCUCGGCAUGAUACCACCGUUAUCGGGUCAAAAUAGUAGUUGCAAACGACAACUAUGCGGAAGCUCGUCUCGCUGCUUAAUCGCAGUGUGACACUUCAAAUCAAGUCCUGAAGGUUCGCACCUUAAGGCGGGGUUCGGAGGUACCUGGCAACAGAAACCUCCACC
rnacentral:tmRNA from 1 species